rnacentral:lncRNA from 10 species
GGAUUUUCUGUAGAUCUCCAUAAUUCUGCUACUGUGCAGGUUUCUCUUCUCUGCUAUUUCGGUCUACAAACAGUAGCUGAUGUGAUCUCUCUGAGCUCAAAUCCAUCUCAUCAAUUCAGAGAAUGCCAGAUUCCCCUGGGUCCCUCUUCCACGUGCCUGGGAACUAUUUCAAGGCAGUGGCUGGAGGCAAUUUGAUCUUGCAGUGAAGAGGAAUAUAAUAAAUGGCAGCUUUUGGAAUUGUUCAAGAGAUAAUACACCUAUUUCCUUACACAUCUUACUUUAUCUAAUAAAACCUUCUCAACAGCAGGUAAUUAAAAAUAAAUAUUUGUAUUUAUUGUAUGCCAUCUAUAAUAAAAAUUAAAUACUCAUAACUUGUCAAACUGAUUAAAGGGUAUUUUAUUUUAUAGAUUUAAAUAAAAUAUAAUAGAAA